CAGAAGGCCUAAAUGACCAAAAUUGUUGCCCCUCUCACUAGAAAUGCUCUCUCUGCUCAAAAUUCCCCUAUGCUCAAAAUCCCUAAAAUCAAAAAAUGUGAAUCUCAUAUAGAUGCUCCAUUUCUCAAAUCCUAAUUAAAGGAAAAACUAUGCUGGCUGCUCCAUUUCUCUGCAUCUAGUUACUGACCCAAAAGCUCAAAUCAUAGAAAUGCUAUUACUAGAGAAAUAGACACACCAGAUAAAGUUUGGGAGAUCCAGUAUACACGCAAGGAUAAUAGAGGAGAACUGGUGUGGAUGGAUUCACAAUCUCAAUAAAUUAAUGGACAACUCCAAGAAAUUGUCGCUCAGCAACAAUCUAAAAAAAUCGAGCAUUCAAUGACUAAAGAUGAGAUUUUAUCCACCGUUCUUGGUGAGAGAACAAGAUAUGUUCGCGGAAAAGGAUACGAAAAAAAGCCUCCUAAAAAGAGUAACAUGCAGCAUGCAAACAUAAAGUCCAACGUAUCUUCUGCUAUGGAAAUUAUGCGUCAAGAGAUGCAAGCCAAGAUGGAUAGAAAGUUGCAAGAAGAACAUGAACGAAUGGCUUCUCAGUUACAAAGAAAUAUGGAACUUGAGUUGCAAAGGAAGUUGGCAGAGGAGCGUGAACACACAAAUGAAGAAGUAGACAAGAGGAUCCAUCUAAAAGUGGACAAGAGGAUGCAUGAACAAUUUGCUAGUUUGAUGACCAGAAUGCUACAACAGCAGGGACAAGGCACUUAAAUAAUGGUAUCGUUCAAGGAUGGUGUCGACCAAGGAGCAAUUAUAAGGCACUUAAUAUUUUGUCUUUUUGGGAUAUGCAUAUGCGUACAAUUACAAUGCACAAUGAAGUGUUGUGUAUUAUUAUGUAAUUGACUUUUUAGUAAUGAAAAUAUUUAUAAUAUUCAGUUUGAGAAAUUCUUUUGGUAUUUUUUAAA